AAUUCCAACGGUCUUGUACGUAUAUUACUCCUAUAUAUUUUCCUCUUCAACAAAUCUAUUACACCUUCACUUCAUUUUUACAUUUUCAUUCUCUCUCUAAAUUUUCUCUAACUUCUCUCUUAAAUUUCAUACUUUCAACUUAAUCUCCAUACAAAAAGUGGUAAGUGUUUAUAUGCAAGGUGUACAUCUUAAAUUACCCGAGGUCGCAAAUUCGCUGCUGGGUGUACAUCUUCUUUAUAUGCAAGUGACCCAACUGGUUUGAGAGAUGUCACUUACACAUCUUCAUCUUCAUCUAGUACAGGACGCUCUCGUCCAUCUCAAAGACAGGAAACCGAUGAUGAGUAUGAAG
rnacentral:lncRNA from 1 species